rnacentral:lncRNA from 1 species
UCUUGCUCUGUCACCCAGGCUGGUGUGCAGUGGUGUAAUCAUGGCUUCCUGAAGCCUUGACCUCCUGGGCUCAAGAGAUCCUCCUGCCUCAACUUCUCAAGUAGCUAAGAUUAUAGGCACACACCACCACACCCAGCUAAUAAGCAGGAUCUCUUUCUUUCUUCAGCAUGCCUGCACAGGUGAGCUCACCCCGCUCACUCAUCAUUUAAGGUGCAGCUCAAAUUCCAUCUUCUCUCUGUGACCCUCACUUGUUGGUCUGCAGAGAUUUUCCUCCUCCCAAGUCCCAGAAUACUUAUAGCUGACACCACUCAUUUAGCACCAGGGCUGGCUUCACAUUAGCAUACACAGGCUCUGAGAAAUUCCAUGACGAAGAAACCCAUUUAAAUUAAACCCAUAGGGUCUCUGUCUUAGGCAGUGCAGCCUCCCUUUCUCAGGUAAUGACCAUAACGAUCUCACUGAAACAGCAUUUCAUAACACACACCUUGGAAAAUACUAUGCUGGUUAUUCUCUGAUAUAAUUUCUAGUUCCGAGAUUAGAUGCAUCAGUGAUUCCAGAUAACAAGCAGAUCUUGGGCUGGCUGGUCAGUUUGUUCUCCCUGUCCAAGUUACAGGAGAAGGUCUGGGGAGGUUGCUAAGCUACAGGGUCACUAUCUGACUUGAUCACCAGCAUCAUACCACCCCUGUGCUCCUGUACCCCAAGAGAUGGCCUGUUUUCAUCUAACCCUAUCAACCUGUGCCCCAAGAGAUGGCCUGUUUUCAUAGAAACCUUUUAAUUCUUUCACAAUAAAGACAGACCAAGAUUAAAAUACACACUGAUGAAGUUUAAAUAGGGCUAUUCCUGUUUGUUCUAAUUAUGCUAAAAUGCACAAUUUGAACAACAGUCCUCCCCAGAGAUGCCAGAUUCUUGUGACCAAUAAACCUAUUGAACCCACCUUCAACUUCAGGCUAAUAGUUCAUUUAAGAGGAUUCGUUUGAAAAGUAUAAAUGUGACUUUUUCUAAAAACAUGGUUUUCACAUUUUCCUUCCUGGCUUCUCCUAUUUCAGCAUCCCGCCUCCAGAGCCCUGUGGGUUGAAGACCGCUGUGCUCUUUUCUUUCGGCUUCACACGCUGGUUAGUCUUCUGUUUGCUUUGUCAGCACGGUACUUUUCAUUUCCUUCGUGGUGUUUUUAGGAGCUCCUGAAUUUCACAGACAAAUCCAGACCCCUGUGUGGAAAGCCUGCGGUGGUGUUCUCCGUCUUCCCACAGGACUCCCUGCAGCCAGGAAUUCUAGGGGAGCACCUGACGCGAGAUUUCUUUUCUAACAGGAAAAAAAAUAUGUGUCAGUUUCUCUGUGUGCAGCCCCUGACCCAUUGCCCAGAGAUCUCCGGAUGUCAACCGAGAGAUGCAUACAUCACAAUGUGACGCGUCAGGACCAUGGCCUAGUGGCUGCGCACAGCUGCUGGUGAUGAGUCCAGAUCUCUGCAGAUCCUCCUACUUUCGGCCCCGCAGUCUACUUGUUUAACUGAUGAUUCAUAGGCAUUAUUAGUAACUCAAAAUAAUCUUUUUUGAUGCCAAAACCAAAAAGUGAUAAAUCAAGAGUAUAUCCUUUCUAUUGUUGCUUUAUAAAAUACUUUCAUGCUAUCCAGGCAGUCCUAAUUAAAUCUUAAACAACAAACAAGGCUAAGGUUCAGAACUAGAAAUGUUAAGCUACAAAUAUGCUAACUGAUGAUGUGAAAAUCAGGUCCCAGUUGGUCGUACUAAUCAAGAUAAAGUGAUGCGGCUAACCUCCAGGUUUUACCCGCUUCUUGGGAAGUCAAAUGUUAAAAAUCAGGAAACUCCAAAUUACUCAUUAUAACUCCUUUGAGCUUUAACAGAGACGCUUCAUUGAAAUUUAAUAGAGAAUGUCCCUGGUUUUGGAGGGGUUCUGUUUCUUUACUAAACUGUUCUUAGGAUAGUAACCAAAAUAUCGUACUUUAUUUUGUGCUUACGUAUUUCAAUGGAAAUAAUUCUGUGUUAAAAUUUAAGAGAGAAAAUGAAAAUAUUAACUAAAAGGUUAUUAAAAUUUUUUUAAAGAAAAAAGUAUAAUGCCAUGAUGAAUUGAAAAUUAAUGUUACUACUUUGAAGAAUCAAGUUGAUUGUAUGUACACACAUUUUAAAAGGAGUAUAUUCUUGAGAGCCUUCCUCUACCAAGACUUUCUAGCAUUAAACUUGUUUAUCAUAGAUCUGUUCCAAAUCCCAUGUGGUAGAGUUAGUAACUAUCUCAUCUAUAGAUUAUUCUUUUUGAGGACACUAAUGUUUGCUUUAUAGUCAGAUUUCAGAGUCCCUCACCAUUUUGAUUUUUAUUUUUUUUUAAGAGAUGGUCUCCCUAUAUUGCUCAGGCUGGCCUUGAACUCCUGGGUUAAAGCGAUCCUCCAGCCAUAGCCUCAUAAGUAGCUGGGACUAUAGGCAUAAGCACCACACCUGGCCUCAACACUGCUCUGUUUGUUUGUUUUGUUUUGGAGACAGAGUGUCUCGCUCUGUCACCCAGGCUGGGGUGCAGUGGUGCGAUCUUGGCUCAUUGCAACCUCUGCCUCAUGAGUUCAAGCAAUUCUCAUGCCUCAGCCUCCCAAGUAGCUGGGACUACAGGCACACACCGCCACAUCCUGCUAAUUUUUAUAUUUUAGUAGAGAUGGGGUUUCACUGUGUUGCUCAGGCUGGUCUCGAACUCCUGAGUUCAGGCAAUCUGCCUGCCUCGGCCUCCCAAAGUGUUGGGAUUACAGGCAUAAGCCACCGUGCCCAGCCCUCUUCACUGUUCUUUAUGUGUGGAUGAUAUUACAUGGGUAGGGCUAAAUGUCACCACCAAUUUCCUACAGUACAGAUCUGUGGGGACCAUCCUUUGAUGUGCGUCUGUUACAUGCUUUUUAGGACAUGACUGUGUUUGUGAUUCUACUCCUUUAUGAUCAACUUAAAAAUUCCCAGACUCAUAUUUUGAUUAGAAACAAUUCACAGAUAAUAUCAGAUACUUGUUGAGUAGGAGUAGUUAAUGCAUCAUCCCAGGAUACCCAUUCCCAUGUAAAAUUGCUAAAGAAUUAUUUAUUAUCACUUCCGUUCCGAAUCUUCUCCAGAAGCUUAUUGUUAUCUCUAGGUUAAACACUAGUUUCUAGGUUAAAACUAGUUUCAUAACUAGUGUUAUCAAAAUGGAAUAUUAGAUUCUGAAGAGGUUUAACAAUGGCGUGUUCACAUUUACACAUUACACUUGCACACGAGGAAGAUGGGAGGAAAUGAGCAACUUUAAGGAGACAACUAGUUGAAGAAUUUAAUUCCAGUGAAGAUAAGGAAAGUUUAAUUCUACCUACUCUUGAAUUGAUAUAAACUAGAUCUAUCUUCCAUAUAUCUAGCAGUUCUCUGUCUCCCUCGUAAAGAGGAAACAAAAUCUUCACAGGGUAUUUGUGAGUUGAUGUUAUGUGCAGCGUAUACAUGCAUCAUUUCUUCCCUGACGACACGUCCUUUUAAUAGUACCCGAGGCACCCGCAGGACACAGAAUGGGAAAGCCUAGGUCCCAUGUGAAAACAUGUAGUCUCUAUUUGGUCACAGCUGAUUGGACCAAAUGUGGGCACUAACCUAAGCUGAGCCAUCCAAAUUUCUUCUUUUGGGAAUUCAAAAUUGAGCCACAAAGUAAGUUACUUAAAAGCAGCUGUGUUGGGAAGUCAUACACAUACAGAGGUUGGCAUGACUGUCCAAGUCCACAUAAUAGAAAGAUAAGAGAAGUCAAGCUUCAGAGAAUGAGGGAGGGAGGGAAGGAGGGAGAGGGAGAGAGAGGAAGGUAGGGAGGGAGGGAAGGAAGGAGAGAGAGAGAGGAAGAGGAGAGGAAGAGGAAGAGGAGCACCAGGAGAGAGCAAACCAUAGUGAAAAAGACACUGUCCUCGUCCUCGCAACAGAGAGAAAUGAUGAAUGAGAAAAUGGCGGGGGAGUCCACCACUGUCCCACUCAAACCAGUUUCAUGACUUUCUGUGAGUUCCUCUAAAUCUUUGGCAUAAAUUACUUGUCAUUUAAGCUUGUUUCAGAAGGAUUUUCCUUCUUUCCUAAGCUAUUCUUACGGUAUUAACCAGAUAAUGUUGUACUUUAUUUUCUGCAUACAUAAUUUUUGAAGUCCCUCAACUUUUAUAUGUGUGCUUUUAAUAUUAGACUAAAAUUGUUUAGUUGUGGCCUAAAAACUCAAGCAAUUUUUAGCAAAGAGCCUGUUGCACAGGUUGCAUGAGUAAAUGACUCAAAGGCUGAAGAUUCAAAAUAAACAUCCUGUCAAAAUACUCAUCAAAAUGGCACAAAAGAAAACAUGCUAGUACACUGUGGUUAAAAAAUGGAAAAUAAAGUUCCACAUUCCCCAUGAAUCCCCAUGAUGAAAUCAAACAGAAUUUAUCUCCAAGUUCAUUUCCAGUAAGCCUCGUUUUAAACGCAUAUUACCAGCAGCUUUAAUAUGUUUGAUGAUAAAACACGUAUACCUUCAAGAGAAUGUAUGUAACUUAUAAGUAGAUUAUAAAGCAUAAUAAAAUGGAUACUUGUGAAUCUUCCACCCUAAAAACUAGAACCUCACCAAAAUGUACUACUAUUAAAGCUGUGUUUCUCCAUACAGAUACAUAUAUGCAUAUCCUGUUGAAAUUGAGUUGGAUCUAUAGAUCAAUUUGGGAAGAAUUGACAUAUGUAUGUGGCAUAUAUAUUCAUUUAUUUGUUGAUCUUCUCUAAGCAUUUUGUUAUUGUUUGUAUGACUUUUGACAUUAUCAUGAAUGGAACAGCUUUUUUAUUUUUAUUUUCAUUUGUUUGCUGCGAGUGAAGAGAAAUAUAAUUGACUUUUGUUUAGGAGUCUCAUACACUGUAACUUUCCUAAGCCCGCUAUUACUUCUUGUAUUUGCUUUCUAGAUUCCUUGGGAUUCUUUUUUUCCUAGAAUAUCAUUGCCUCUACAAACUGAAGCAAUUUUAUUUCUUCUAUUCCAAAAUGUAUUUGUUUUCCUUGCCCUAUGUCACUGGUAAGACCUCUAAAAAAAUAUUGAUAAAAAAAAAAAAAAGCUGUGUUUCUCAAUUAGGGUCCAUUCAGUUCCCCAAGCUACCCACUGCCCCAUCCCCAGGGGAUGUGCAGCAAUGCCUGGAGACAUUUCUGCUUGUCGCAACUGUCAGGGGGAUGCUAUUAGUAUUUAGUCGGUAGAGGCCAGAGAUGCUGCUAAACAUCCUGCAUUGCACAGGAUAGCCCCCAAACAGCAAAGAAUUAUUCAGCUCACAAUGUUGACAGCUUCAAGGGUGAGAAGCCCUGCAUUAAAGCUGCGUGUUUAUGCCUAAUCCCAUAUGUCUACCACUUUCCUGUAAUGCAACCACUAUUUUAAUUCAGUAUUUAACAUUAUCUUAUUUCUAAAAUAUAAUUUAUCCCAUACAUAUGCAUCCCUAAUAGCAUUAUAAAAUUAAUCACUAGCUUUUGAAAAGAAUGCUAAUGAGCCUCAAGCAUAUAUCAAAGGGAAACAUAACACUAUGAAUAAUUAUAGAUUUCUGGAAAGGUUUUCACCUAUUUCCUGAAAGCAAGGUUUGCAGCAGAAAUUUAUCUUAUCCAUCAAUCUCUUCUUCUGAAAAUAUUAAUUUGUGUGAACAAUGAAAAAAAUCAUAGUUCGCCUGUUCUUGGGGGCUUUAAUUCUUAUUAACCAGUACAGUUCAAUCAAUUUAAUUACCAACAUUUUAGAAUUCAUUGGCUAGAAGACUAACGGGGAAACAUGAAAGGGUGAAAAUCUUCUGUCAUGACACAUCGUUGCUUUCAAAUAAUUCAGUAAAUGAGAGUAAGGGAACUUUUAAGAUAAUCAAUUAUGUAUUCCAGCUGUAAAAAUAAAAAGAAUCUUAGCACAAUGCAUUUUUAAUUUUAACAUAUCUAUUCAAAUACUGUGAAAACUAUGUUGUAGAAUCUCUCACAGGUUGCUUUGAUGCUUCAUUUUUAGUCUACAGGUUUGGACCUACAAGGGUGGUUUCUAAGAGUUGUCUCUUCCCUGUCAUAUAUUUGUCUUAUGACUAGGAUAUUCUGCUUCUUGGGAAAUACUGUGCUUUGAUUAUAUAUAACCUUCUAGUCCAACAGUUAAGCUAUCUAUAGGAAUGUUUGCUUUCAGAAACAAUUAGGCUUAAAAAUAAAGACUGUGCUCAAAAAUAAUAAACUUACUUAAAAAUAACA